CCUACGGGAGGCAGCAGUGGGGAAUCUUGCACAAUGGAGGAAACUCUGAUGCAGCGAUGCCGCGUGAGUGAAGAAGGCCCUUGGGUUGUAAAGCUCUUUCGUCGGGGAAGAUAAUGACUGUACCCGA
rnacentral:rRNA from 1 species